rnacentral:rRNA from 1 species
UACGUAGGGGGCAAGCGUUGUCCGGAUUUAUUGGGCGUAAAGCGCGCGCAGGCGGCUCUUUAAGUCAGGUGUGAAAGGCUGCGGCUCAACCGCAGAGCUGCACCUGAAACUGGGGAGCUUGAGUACAGGAGAGGAGAGUGGAAUUCCCGGUGUAGCGGUGGAAUGCGUAGAGAUCGGGAGGAACACCAGUGGCGAAGGCGACUCUCUGGACUGUAACUGACGCUGAGGCGCGAAAGCGUGGGGAGCGAAC